rnacentral:rRNA from 1 species
AGAGUUUGAUCAUGGCUCAGGAUGAACGCUAGCUACAGGCUUAACACAUGCAAGUCGAGGGGCAGCAUGUUGGUUGCUUGCAACCAACGAUGGCGACCGGCGCACGGGUGAGUAACGCGUAUCCAACCUACCCUUGUCCAUCGGAUAACCCGUCGAAAGGCGGCCUAACACGAUAUGCGGUUCACAGCAGGCAUCUAACGUGAACGAAAUGUGAAGGAGAAGGAUGGGGAUGCGUCUGAUUAGCUUGUUGGCGGGGUAACGGCCACAAGGCUACGAUCAGUAGGGGUUCUGAGAGGAAGGUCCCCCANAUUGGAACUGAGACACGGUCCAAACGUCCUACGGGAGCA